GACGAACGCUGGCGGCGUGCCUAAUACAUGCAAGUAGAACGCUGAAGGAGGAGCUUGCUUCUCUGGAUGAGUUGCGAACGGGUGAGUAACGCGUAGGUAACCUGCCUGGUAGCAGGGGAUAACUAUUGGAAACGAUAGCUAAUACCGCAUAACAGUAGAUAUUGCAUGAUAUCUGCUUGAAAGGUGCAAUUGCAUCACUACCAGAUGGACCUGCGUUGUAUUAGCUAGUUGGUGAGGUAACGGCUCACCAAGGCGACGAUACAUAGCCGACCUGAGAGGGUGAUCGGCCACACUGGGACUGAGACACGGCCCAGACUCCUACGGGAGGCAGCAGUAGGGAAUCUUCGGCAAUGGACGGAAGUCUGACCGAGCAACGCCGCGUGAGUGAAGAAGGUUUUCGGAUCGUAAAGCUCUGUUGUAAGAGAAGAACGAGUGUGAGAGUGGAAAGUUCACA
rnacentral:rRNA from 1 species